AUUGAACGCUGGCGGCAUGCCUUACACAUGCAAGUCGAACGGUAACAGGUUAAGCUGACGAGUGGCGAACGGGUGAGUAAUGUAUCGGAACGUGCCCAGUCGUGGGGGAUAACUGCUCGAAAGAGCAGCUAAUACCGCAUACGACCUGAGGGUGAAAGCGGGGGAUCGCAAGACCUCGCGCGAUUGGAGCGGCCGAUAUCAGAUUAGGUAGUUGGUGAGGUAAAGGCUCACCAAGCCGACGAUCUGUAGCUGGUCUGAGAGGACGACCAGCCACACUGGGACUGAGACACGGCCCAGACUCCUACGGGAGGCAGCAGUGGGGAAUUUUGGACAAUGGGCGCAAGCCUGAUCCAGCUAUGCCGCGUGCGGGAAGAAGGCCUUCGGGUUGUAAACCGCUUUUGUCAGGGAAGAAAAGGUUCUGGCUAAUACCUGGGACUCAUGACGGUACCUGAAGAAUAAGCACCGGCUAACUACGUG
rnacentral:rRNA from 1 species